rnacentral:lncRNA from 1 species
CUCAGCAGGACAGUCUCCUGGUCUGCCAUGAAUUCAAACACAAUCUGUAAAGACAGUGAAGGAAGCUACAUCUGUGCAUGGGGGCUUUAGAGAAUUAUUGGCUUGAAGCAAUAAGAGGAACAUCUGGGCUGAGUAGUCCUCGAAGACUCUCAUGUGAUUCAAAAGUCCUUUUCUUCCUUAUGAUUUCCUCUCUUGCUAUCAAGCAUCUCCUCUGGCAGCAGCAACUGGAACUAAAAGUGAUUUCUCUAUAACAGCAAGCAAGUUUCUCAUGGCCUUUGCUAUUAACUCUUUCAUGCCUGCUGGCCUGCAAAAGAAUGAGGAGGGCUGGUGCUGGAGCAGAUGGCGCACUGUGAGUGAUGGUUUAGAUUCUGCCUGGACUCAAACCAUUUGGUUGAUGGCAGGAACCUUGAUUUUCCCCCUUCUUAUUCUGAGAGUGUAGGGUUUCUCUGAAUUAUUAUUUCUUUCUUUGCAAGGAUCCCUGGAUCCUCAUUCCUGAUAUAAGACUAGCUCUAGCCCAAGGUAGAGAGGUAGAACUGCUCCCCUGGCUGCCCUGCCAGGCUUUGGGGUCAUGUGAUACGAUCUUCCAUAGCCACGGGGCCUUGGUUGUCAACUCAUUCCUGAACUUUGUGUGCCAAAGUGAGUCCAGCUUCCACACCCUUCACCUCCACCACCAGGCUGAUCCAGACUGCCAGGCUACGAUACUCCAAGCAGGAUCCUACCUUGAUCUUAAAAACUUCCUAUGAAGAGCUCUACCAUCAUGUUUUCUAAAACCAGAAGCCCACCCUAAUCCCUGCCUGGCUUUUGGUUCCUUCAUUAGAGGCAAUCACUGCCAUAGAGAGUCCCACUCACUAUCCCUCCAUAGACGCUCUAGAACUAGGUUGGGAGCACGAGAUGCUCAGCCUUUAUAUUUUGUUAUCUUGAACCACAUGGGAGUCUUUGAGGACUACCCAGCCCAGACAUUUCUCUUAUUACUGCAAGCCAAUAAUUCUCUAAAGCACCUAAGCACAGACGUAGCUUCCUUCACUGUCUUUACAGAUUGUGUUUGAAUUCAUGGCACAGCAGAAGACUGUCCUGCUGUGUAUGGAGUUCCUCAGUAGCAUGAACUAGGGACAGAAUUGAGAAUAGCACUAACACCAGAAAUACAGUGCUGAGCCCUGUGCUGUAGCUGAGGUGGAUGGUCUCUGACUCUGUGGGCCUCUCUGCAGCCAGUCCAAUUCCUGUCUUUCUCUUGUGAAUAAAUGUUGCUGGCUCCAACUCAGCCUUAUUUUUUGAUGUGAUUCUGACUCCAGUCAUUAAGGGGGAUGUCU